AUCUACUCACUAAAUAUUUCAUAUCUAUUACAAGCAAAAAAGUACAUAUAACUACGGUCAACCACAACUUUUUAAAAAAUAUAAGUUAUUAAAAUAAAAAAUUAUAUUACCAAUAUAAUAUGACUGUCUCUAUAAAUGAUAAGAUAUAUAGCUUCAUCCUUUCUAUAUCCCUACAUAUAUAUAACUCUAUAGUUUUGACGAUAAAAAGGUUGAGGUUCCUAAAUUGUCUCAUAUUUAUUUCAGUAGUAUUUCUACAUCAUAAAUAGUGAAAAAAAAUCAGAUCCAUAUAUCAAUCAAGCUUAUAACCUAGGUACCAAUAUGAAACCAGAAUUACUAUUUCUUAGUGAAUUGAGUCCAGGAGCUGAUGAUUAUAGAAUAAAAGUGAAGGUAAUAGACAUUUCAGAGAGAAAAUUAUCUACGGAUGAUUGCACUUUCUACGAAACGCUUCUAUUAUGUGAUGAAAAGAUUUAUCAGGAGUAGUCUUGUUUGUGGAGGAAGAAGUCUGUUUGGUUACCUUAUUCUAUGGACAGAAAGCCUAUGUUCGAGAGGUUAACGUUGUCAUAACUGACCAAACGCUUCUCUCAGUCCACUAGAAUGUAAAACCAGAUUAUCUACAAUCCUAAAGGAGACAGAGCUAAUGUGUUGCGAGAAUGGUCAACCCUAUAUGCACAAAUGCUAUUAGAUCGACAAGGAAGGAUUCUGGAAGUUCAAGACCCUGCAAAUGCAAGAGCACCUGUCACUAUUCGAUACCUGAAGGAUAAAAAAGGUGCAAAAUGCAUUACAAGAUGAAAGGCAUUAGGUACUUGCAACUGUGACCUUUGUAUCUAUGGAACAACAGCUGAAAGCAUAUAUAGGAUUUUCAAAGUGUGGGAAGCCAACAAAACUACCAGAAGGGAGGCAAUUUGCUUGUUCAAAAUGUUAUACCAAAGAAGCAAAUGCUUGUCUCAGGGUUGCUUUAACUUUUGAUGCUGCAGAGGCCUAUGACAGCAUAGCACUUACAUAAUUUGCCAAUGAAACUGAAAAAUCUUUGGAAUGAAUACAACUGAUAUAUAUAAUAUGAUGGAAAAUGGAAAUUUAAUUUGUUUCACAGCCAUACAACAAAAAAUAAGUUCCAAAGUCUUCUAUCUGGAAGUUGGUCCCUACUAGCAUUAACUGCUAGCAACAUACUUCAGUGGACAUUAGAAGCAGUUCAGAUAUAAGAUGAUCAUGGUGAUUGUACAACAAAGGGCAAAAAAUAGGUCGAAGUUCCUCCACAUAUUGAUGGUUCCAACAUAUCAAAAACAAUUGAUCAAGAUGUGAGUGCAAGUUUCAGCAACUACGAAUGCUUCUAUUUCAACAUUUGCAAAAGAACCCUUCCCUAAUUGGUCAAUGCAUGGACGACCACGCUCUUUACUCAAAAGAAAACACUCCAACACUGUCAAUGAAGUUGAAACUACAAAGACCAAGAUCUGCAUACCCAAUGCUGAUAAUCAAAGAAAUACCUUCUGUUUUCAAUGAACCAUACACAAAAAUUACUGGAAACAUCAACACUAAUUCUCCACAAGAGUAGGAAAUUGUAUUCAAAACAGCAACCCUGACAACAUAGCAACUGAAAAUUCCUCAGCAAUCAGCACAGACCUUCCAAAAUGAACCAGAGAUGGUACAAGGUUUGCUGAAAAACUCCUAUUGCUAAUUUAAAAUAUUCGACUAUGUUUUAUGAAUGCUGCAUUUUGCUCCCUUCGCAGCAUAGUAAUUUAUAUAAACCAAAAGUCAACAAAAUCUAUAUGACUUAAAUCUUUUGAAGGGUUGUGUAGGAACAAAGGUAAUAGCCCCUGUUCCUACAUAACACUCAUCUUAGAAUAUAAUAUAAAGUUGUUGCAUUUUGCACCCUCAACAACUUAGUAGUCUAUGAAAAGUCAUAUAUAAUCUGGUUGUAUAGAUCCUUAAUAUUUUGGAGGGUUAUGAAGGCACAUAAGUGAUAACUUUUGUUCCUACAUAACACUUAAUCUACAUAGGUUAAAAGUAGUUGAACUCUUUUGCUCAUUCUAGCUAACCAUUUAAGGUUUAAUAGGAUAUGAUGUUAAGUAAGUUUAGAUUUUAUAUGCUAUGUAUGUCUAUUAAUUGUAAUGGAAAGCAAACCUUAAACUUUUGUAAUGUAAUAAAUUAAGCAGUAUCUAAUAGAAUAUAUACUUUU